rnacentral:lncRNA from 1 species
CUCUACACUAUAGUAGGUCCCAGGCUUCCUGUGUGUGCCUCCACUCCUCCCUAUCGCCUAGCCCUAUCCCAGCCAGCUCUAUUGUGUGAUACAAUCACUCAGCAGCUGUGGCCCAUUUGUAAAAGGGAGGGGCCUGCAUGCUUAACUCUUGGCUACGUAAGAGACCAUGUCUACCAGGGGAAUUAGCAGAUCAGCUCACAGAGCAACAGAUGUGGCCCACACCCAUUCAAGGGAGAGAGAAAAAAAAAACACAUUGCGCAUGGGUCUCCAACUUAACACUACUGUCAACUUAACAGCAAAACAGUUGCACAAAAUCCUCAAGGAAAGGGAGUUAAAGGAAAACUUAUUGCUUGACUUGGAAUUGUAUUGACUGACAUCAUCAUGAAGGCAUCAACCACAGCGGGUCCGGCGUUACCAAUGACAUCGCCAGAAACAUUCGAACAAGGAAUCAUUGAGGUUGUCACCCGUCUGGUCACACAGAAUUUCACAGAACACUUCACACAACCCUUCAGAGCUGGAGUUCUGACAACAACUUCUGCAGAUAUGACUGAAACAACCUCAGCCGCUUUUUUAGUGGGAGCCGCCAACGUAGAUGAUGGAUCCUUUGAAGCCAUUAUUUUCGGAGGAGGAAUUUUUGCGCUGCUCCUGGCGCUGCUCCUGGCGUUGCUGGUACUGCGCUACAUUGUCAAGCAUAAGGGCACUUACCACACCAAUGAGGCCGAGUGUGGUGAUUCUGUCGACAAGUAUGGCAGGGACUCUCAAAGCGAGCAGGUUCAACUAGAGAUUUUGGACAAGGACGAAUAGAAAGAAGAAUACUUCAUUUGAAACAGGACUUUUUCCGUUUCUAAACCAGGGCCAAUAUUUUCUAUGGAAUUGGAAAUGCCUAUGAUGGUCAUCUAAUUUCAAGACAACAUUUAUAUGGGGCCUACAACCAUCUCAGCUCUGCAGAUAUUGUUACGAAGAGACAAAAUAAUUACAUCACUUAUUUUUGUAUUGCCCAUAUAGUAUAUACACUAUAUACGCAAAAGUAUGUGGACACCCCUUCAAAUUAGUGGAUUGGCUAUUUCAGCCACAUUACAGCCUUAUUCUACAGCUUUAUUUCCCUCAUCAGUCUACAUAAAAUCUCAUAAUGACAAAGUAAAAACAGGUUUUUAUCAAUUUUUGCAAAUGUAUAAAAAAAAAAUUCUGAAAUAUCACAUUUACAUAAGUAUUCAGAUCCUUUACUCAGUACUUUGUUGAAGCACCUUUGGCAGUGAUUACAACCUUGAGUCUUGGGUAUGACGCUACAAGCUAGGCACACCUGUAUUUGGGGAGUUUAUCCCAUUCUUCUCUACAAAUCCUCUCAAGCUCUGUCAGGUUGGAUGGGGAGAGUUGCUGCACAGCUAUUUUCAGGUCUCGGGUUCAAGUCCGGGCUUUGGCUGGGCCACUCAAGGACGUUUAGAGGCUUGUCCCAAAGCCACUCCUGCAUUGUUUUGGCUGUGUGCUUAGGGUCGUUGUCCUGUUGGAAGGUGAACCUUCACCCCAGUCUAAGGUCCUGAGUGCUUCAUCAAUGAUCUCUCUGUACUUUGCUCAGUUCAACUUUCCCACGAUCCUGACUAGUCUCCCAGACCCUGCCACUGAAAGAUAUCCCCACAACAUGAUGCUGCCACCAUCAUGCUUCACCGUAGGGAUGGUGUCAGGUUUAAUCCAGACGUGACGCUUGGCAUUCAGGCCAAAGAGUUCAAUCUUGGUUUCAUCAGACGAGAGAAUCUUGUUUCUCAUGGUCUGAGAGUCCUUUAGGGGCUUUUAUUGGGCAAACUCCAAGCGAGCUGUCAUGUGCCUUUUACUGAGGAGGGGCUUCCGUCUGGCCACUCUACCAUAAAAGCCUGAUUGGUGGAGUGCUGCAGAGAUGAUUGUCCUUCUGGAAGGUUCUCCCAUCUCCACAGAGCAACUCUGGGGCACUGUCAGAGUGACCAUCGGGUACUUGUUUACCUCCCUGACCAAAGCCCUUCUCCCCCUUUUGCUCAGUUUGACCGGGCGACUAGCUCUAGGAAGAGUCUUGGUGGUUCCAAACUUGUUCCAUUUAAGAAUGAUGGAGGCCACUGUGUUCUUGGGGACCUUCAAUGCUGCAGAAAUGUUUUGGUACCCUUUCCCAGAUCUGUGCCUCGACACAAUCCUGUCUCAGAACUCUAUGGACAAUUCCUUCGACCUCAUGGCUUGGUUUUUGCUCUGAAAAGCACUGUCAUCUAUAGACAGGUGUGUGCCUUUCCAAAUCAUGUCCAAUCAAUUGAAUUUAUCACAGAUGGACUCCAAUCAAGUUGUAGAAACAUAUCAAGGAUGAUCAGUGGAAACAGGAUGGACCAGAGCUCAAUUUCGAGUCUCAUAACAAAGGGUCUGAAUACUUAUGUAACAUUAGAGUGUCUAGUUUGAGAAACAGACGUCUCACAAGUCCUCAACUGGUAGCUUCAUUAAAUAGUACCAGCAAAACACCAGCCUCAACCUCAACAGUGAAGAGGCGACUCCGGGAUGCUGGCUUUCUAGGCCAAGUUGCAAAGAAAAAGCCAUAUCUCAGACUGGCCAAUAAAAGUAAAAGAUUAAGAUGGGCAAAAGAACACAGACACUGGACAGAGGAACUCUGUCUAGAAGGCCAGCAUCCCAGAGUCGCCUCAUCACUGUUUAUGUUGCUCAGUUGUGCACCAGGGCCUCCCACUCCUCUUUCUAUUCUGGUUAGAGACAGUUUGCACUGUUCUGUGAAGGGAGUAGUACACAGUGCUGUACGAGAUCUUUAGUUUCUUGGCAAUUUCUCGCAUGGAAUAGCCAUCAUUUCUCAGAACAAGAAUAGACUGACGAGUUUCAGAAGAAAGUAAUUUUUUCCGGCCAUUUUGAGCCUGUAGUCAAAGCCACAAAUGCUGAUGCUCCAGAUAUUCAACUAGUCUAAAGAAGGCCAGUUGUAUUGCUUCUUUAUCAGAACGACAGUUUUCAGCUGUGCGAACAUAAUUACAAAAAAGUUUUCUAAUGAUCAAUUAGCCUUUUGAAAUGAGAAACUUGGAUUAGCUAACACAACGUGCCAUUGGAACACAGGAGUGAUGGUUGCUGAUAAUGGGCCUCUGUACGCCUAUGUAGAUAUUCCAUAAAAAAUAUGCCGUUUCCAGCUACAAUAGUCAUUUACAACAUUAACAAUAUCUGCACUGUAUUUCUGAUCAGUUUGAUGUUAUUUUAAUGGACAAAAAAAAAUGCUUUUCUUUCAAAAACAAGGAAAUUCUAAGUGACCCCAAACUUUUGAACGGUAGUGUAUGCUCAAAGUAUUAACAUCCCAAAAUACUGUAUCGGUGACUAAAUGUGGUCAAGUUUAUGUUGAAGAUAAUUCAUGUCUGUUGUUUUAUCACAUGAAAAUGCCAUUCGAUUAGGUGUGGGUAUGUAUCAAGCUACACAUUUGAUACAUUUGCACAGUCAUUAAUUAAAUCAGCCAAACUCUUUUUUCCCAAUUAAGAGUUUACUUGUAUACCCAGUCGAAAAAUCUGAUUAUUCAACACAACAUCUGAGUUCAGGAAACCAAGAUAUAGGGGCAAAUGUUGUCACUUCAAUAGUGUGUGUUAACGAGAUUUAGAAGCUUAUGGAGGAUUUUGUGUUUUCUAUUUUCAUCAAGCUAGAAUAGAGCAAUGCAGUGCCCGAGGCUGCUGAAGGGCAGUUCUGAAUCCUUGAGUAGCGCCAGGCAGCACUAUGUGGGUUUAAUGCAAUUCGAACAACCCCAGAAACGUUCCUGCAGAACUGAGCCAGCACACUUUGCAAAAAAAACAUUGUGCCUCUGGGAAAUCGUUUUACUCUAAUUGCGCAUUAUUCUUGGUUGGGAUACAAGACAAUACAAGCCAAUCUCAAGAUCAUACAUCACCUGAUCUACGAGCUGGCAAAGAGCACUUACUUUUGGCCAUUUGAUUGCAAGUUGAAAGUAUUUCUUUCCAUUUGUCUUCCUAAUCAAAGUAUGGGACAAUUGCUAACCUUUCUCCAAACAGAUUUUUCCUUCAAUUCUCUAAUCAAGUCCAACUUCAAAGCCAGUGACUCAGCGUGUGUUUGAGUGCAGUAGCUUGAGUGCUCUGUCUGAUUGAGGUAAAGACAAUGAAGCCAUUGAGACAUCUAUCCAACUGCCGUCCUCACCGACAACAUAUCAAAUCCUAUUGAUCAGAGAGGAAAACACUUACAAAAUAUGUGCCCCAAAUGGCACCCAAUUUCUUCUUUAGUGCACUAGGCUACUUUUGACCAGGGCCCUAUGGGGGAAUAGGGUGCUAAAUAGGGAAUAGGGUGCCACUUGGGACCCGGCCGUGACUUCACCAGGGCCACUGACACCUCUCGAGGAGAUUAACAACUUUUCUAAAAGAGUUAUUCCAGGGUCACUGAAGCCAUAGCUUGGCCUAGACAGCUAUAUAGAAGCACCAAGUGCUUGAAAGGCAAUAAUCAGGAAGUCAGCCUUGCAACCAGCCGCACUUCCCGUUCAAUGUAUUUUUAUGAUUAGAAAUCAAAUAACAGUUCAAAAGACACCCAUCGUGUUCUCUUACAAUUGUAUCCCAGCUUUCCUCCUGGCCUUGGUGUGCAGAGAACAUUCUUUUUUAUUGUGACAAUAAGCCAUACUUUGAUAUGGCCCUGAAGGCAUCAACAUAAAUUCCUCUCAUCCCGACUGCUCUGUGAAGCUUGAACAAUGGCAAAGCCGAAAGCUGGUGACUUUUCCAUCUCUUCUCCUACUGUCGACAAAAUGGCAUAAAAUACAAAUACAUGCUAGCAUUCUCCAUGGAUGAAUGUGGCAUGCGACUGUACUCACCUAAAGACAUCAACGAUGAAAACACUUUGAAUUUCUUUUGAACAAUGUAGCUACCUCACUCUCUUUGAGUUGUAGCUAAUUCCAGUAAAAGAGGAUACAGUACAUUAAUUAAUGAAUGACUUGACUUGGAAGCCCAUGGUACCGUAGUCUGAGUUGUGUAGAUUAUCUCCCUUGUUAGACAAUAGGCUAAGUCUUGGGUGCGUCCCAAACAGCACCCAUAGAGCUCUAGUCAAAAGUUGUGCACUACAGAAUGUACAGGAAAUAGGCUGCCAUUUGGGACGGAGACCUGGAUGUGUUCAGACAAAUGGAAGAAGAAUGGGAACAGGAAAUUCAUUGAAUCAUCUUGUCAUUGAAUCAUCUUCUUAGAAUAUCCCCAUGGCUUACAAUAUGCACGCUCCCAAAUGCAACCCUAUUCCCUGGUCCCUGGUCAAAAGUAGUGCAUUGCGUAGGGAUUAGGGUGCCAUUUGGGAUGCACUUUUAAGGUUCUGGGGCUCUUGAGAAAGGAGAGUUUUGCAUAAUACAGCAGCAAUAAAACAGAAAAUGCUAAAUUCCAGCUCAUCCAAGUGUUGCUCUAUUGUAUUCUUCAGCGAAUAUCCUAUAAGCUAUAAUGAAGAUAUGUGACUUAGCCCCUGACAUGGCAAGCUUCCUAGGAGAAAGGACUUCCAUUCCAGACUCAAUUACUAUUGCAAUACGUUUCCGCUAUGGAUAUUGAAUAUUGCAAGAUAAGCAGGUCUCGCAAAAUUGCUAGCACAAAGUCUGCGCCGGGGUUUAUGCUAAGGCUUUUUACGCUUCUGUUCAAAGGUGCAUUGGGAAGGUUAUGAAGUACAUUUUUGGGGGGGGGCAGGGUUACAGGAAUAAAUAAUACAGUACCUGCCUGUGAAGAUGGAUGCUUCAUUGUUACAGCCAGGAAUAGUUCCUGCACUCAGCACUUCUCCAAAGAAGUGAAUGUCAAACUUGUGAAUGUCAAACUUGCAGGGGAUCCCCAACAGAGCAGCGUUAGAGAACUGUUCAACCAACUCAGUGUUAAAGAUGAAAUCCGCAUAAGGUGAAACAGCGCCAUUGUUAGCCCUCAGUGCAUUUGUCAUGAUUUUUGUUCUGUUGAUGAAACAGAGUAGAGGAGCAUCCAGUAUCGUGGUAAAACAAUAUUCCAGUACAUACUCUGUGUUCUAUCGCACGUGCAAUGAUGUGCAACGAUGUCAGCGGGGGAAAAAAACUGUGUUCGUAGUUUGAAGUAACUUCUUUGUUGUUGUAAUAUCGCAAACGGACAUGGCCGUUUCACCAAGUACGAAUUCCAGCUUUAAAACAGUGUUCAACCAAUGAAGUGUUAAAACAGUUUUUAGAAGAAUUCACAAGCUUGUAAUUGCAAAACUAGGCAGAAAUGAAGAAGAAAAGUGAUUCAGAAAAGAGGGAACAAAUGGUGUUAUUCUUUGAACCGCUUUUAAUUAAGUCUGUUCCUUUCUGUUUACUUUGAUGAAUCAUUGUUUCCCUAUUAGGCUCACUGUACCAAAGAGAGCUGCAUCUCCAUAAAACUAAAGGAGACAUCAUCCCCAUUAACAACUGUUACUAAUUGAUAUACCUAUAGUUUGGUUUUGAAAGAUUCAUACAACACAAGAACAGUACACUGCCCUCUGAUCCCAGAGGGCAGUGUCUCCAAGAAUACUGUCUCCAAGGAGGCUGCCUGCCUGCCUGUAUACCUGCCUUCUUGCCUUGAUGCCUGUGUGGCUGGCUUCCUGUACAGAUAGCCUAGCAGGAGGGAGCCUGCCUCUGCCUGCCUGCCUCUCAGCCUGCCUCUCUGCCUGCCUCUCUGCUUGGUGCACUCAGCAGUAAGAGGUGAUAUAGGCCUAAUCAUUAUUACUCUAUAAUAACUGAUAAAUAAUCCUCAUAUGAACGGUCACUAGGGGAAAUUGGCUUUUGUUAUUUCAUGUCUAACCGCAUUGCACCUACAGAAACCCAAUUAGCAAAACAAGUCAGCCAGCACUGAAUCAUCGGCAGGUAGUCUGCUAGGCUAUAUUGUCAUGAACAAACUACUGGAAUUCUGUUUGUGUAUAUAUGAAUGGGUUACUUUGGGUCCUAGAGUAUGUUAACUUUUUUAAUGUACUGUAGUUCCAUCCAUUAAAAAAAUUAUAAUAAUAAUUACUGAUUUUUGAGUACAGGCAUACCAUUGAAAUGUCUCUGUACUUUCUUCUCUCUCUCAGUGUGAGAAGCCAGUUCCGAGUUUCAGUUCUCUUUCCAGACUUAGUUGUUGUGACAAACAUUUGACCAGAUAAUUCAGUUCCCUGGGUGUAAUUACUCAGUUGACUGCAGGCACAUUUAGAUUUAAUUAAAAGUGAGAGUCCAAUAUCACUUGUCAUUGCACCUGACACCCUGGCGUUAACUUUGCAGCUUUGCAUUCAUUAGAGCAGGCAGUCAUUUUGUCACAUCUCCUUUGGAAUUGCCUAAAGUUGUAUCUUAUUUACAGCAUAAUCCUACCAGAUAUAAUAUAGUGCACAUCCUUAGGCAUGAAAGUAACAAAACUGAGGUGGGUAUGUGUGUGUGUGUGUCUGUGUGUGUGUGUGUGUGUUGGCAGAGGCCUUCCAGGUUCCCCUUCAGUCAUAUCACGGUAGGAGCAUGGCUGUGUCUUUGCACUGCCAAUUAUCACUCCGGAAAUUCACUAAACAGACUAAGUACAUCACACACACACACACAAAUCCGCUUUAAAGCUUUGUCUCUAAUUAGAUGAAACAGGAAAAAUAGAUCUCACAAAACAUCUUGCUCACCUUACAUGGUGAGGCAUCUUCAGCAUCUAUUCGACACUCUCUUAGAAGGCCAGAUACAUUUCCACUGUCAUUUCUGAUGUGGACUGACUCAAUGUUACCGGAUUGUCAAAAUUAAAUUGAAUUCUUUAGAACAGAUAGCUACAACUCUUCAGGGAAAUAUCCAGAGACAAUAUAGUCUAUACAACAGCAACGAAUACAAAUGAAUAAAGAUAGUGCUAAAGUAACUAUUCCUAAUAUUGAGUACAUCCCGGUGCUUAAUGGUAAACACAGCACCUUGAUGUGUGAUCUGCUUUUUUAUUAACACUAUUUUCCUGUGGACAAAGAGAGUUAUGCCACUAACUGGACCAAUAGCCUUGUUUGGUAUGCACGUCCACCGGAGGCCCCAAACAUAACAAUUCAUCGGUUCUAGUUCUCCUUUGUGUCAGAUCCCACAUUUCAACUCAAUUAAACCCCAUUUUAUUACAGAGCUGCAUCUGCGGCAUGAGUGUGACUAAUUGAAAAGUGAACGGAAAGGAAAAGCAAUUUUCUCACCUAGAAAUGACUCAUCACACAAUGCAUUUUCUUUUUCUCAAAUCGAACAAAUGGUUCAAGCCUCUGCUCGAAUUUAGGAACAGUGAGCCUCAUUAUCCAGUUGGAAAGGUGGUUGAAUGAUGCCAAUUUAUCCAUCAUUACAUAUAACAGAGCUUUCUCUCUUUGUGCUCAUUCGCCAUUAGAUGAGAAAAGAAGAAUUGCAUCAUUUCACACAGACAGGGAAAAUACAGUUAAUUGUUCAAGUGUUCUUGUUAAAGCCUCUUAAUCCUAGGAUUUAAGAGUGAUUAACAUUUGUUCCAUAAUAUUUAACAAUGGACUAAAAGCUGUCAUGUUAAUCACAAGACAUCAUUAUAAGCUAGGAGAAUUUAUUUUAUAAUGGUUAGCACCAAUCAGUGCUAAAAGACUUGCACUCUCCUGGAUAAGCUCUUGAAACGUAAGUCCAUUCAUAAAAGUAAAUCUGUUUUUACUUUGCCUUUGACUCAUUCCAUUGGACCACCUCCACUACAGUAUUAGCAAGGAGUUUUAUAACUAACCCAAGACAGACAAGAGCCUGUCGUUUCCAACCUGAGCAAAUUAAUCAUAGCGUGCAGAUAGGCAAGAAGGUGGGCAGAGCCAAGCACGAGCUACUGAGAUCUUAUUGGCUCAUUAUUUGUAUAUUUCAGGUGCGCGUGUGCACUCUAAACAACGCGCUUUUUAGAAACUUUGGCAAAACGCAGUCCACUCUGUUUGUUACAGAUUUUAGUUUGGAAACAGAAACCUGUAUGGAGAUCAAAUGUUUCAUCGAUGAGAACAUUUGCAGAAUGUCGGCCAAAGUCCAUCUCGCUUGAUAUUCUCCCAUUGCCGGCCACUGGGCUUCCAUACUAGUGAGUGGAAAUGCCAACCGGAUGCUUCACGUUUAUGCAUCCAGUUUAAAUAUGGCUCAUCGUUCUGUCUGUGGUAUUAGAUUUUCUGUGAUAGUGAGACACUUCCCUCUUGUGGUGAAAAUGAUACUGUAAUUGUAUGGAAGUAAAACGUUCUGACUGCGCCACCCAGUGGUAAAUUCUAAGUAUUGCAAUGAGAAUACUGGAACACUUGUGAUCAACAUUCAUUCAAAACAACCACUCCUUAUGAAAUGAUCAUGUUUUCAACAGAGACGUGACAGUUGGUGAUAUAGUGGGGGAAUUACUAGUGCGAAGCAUCCUUUUCAGUCAACCUUAAAGUUCAAUUUUCAUUUUGAUAUGCUGUGCAGAGGUUAGGUUUAGAGUUGAGGUUAGGGAAUGUGUUAAGGUUAGGGUUCGAGGGGUUAACAUAGACUCUGGCCAUGGGAACUUAUUUGUACAUUUGAACUGUAUGUUGUCCUGUUAUGACCCGUAUGACUGUGUUUAAUAUCACUCCCUGACCACAUUUUAUAAAGUGCCUGGGGAAGUGAGGGCCUCCACCGUGGGAGAUUUAUGAUAUGGAUUUAUUUUAUUAUCAAGUAAUAAAAGUGGUCCGAACAUCUGUUUUAUUACUUUUAUAAAACAGGGGUGCCAAUACUGAUGGAGAAUUACGAGGCGAUAGACUGAUUUACUGGACAUCAGGACUUACAGCUGACUUGUAAGUCCCGACGUACUUCAAAAUUCCAAGUAUGGCAGUACCAAGUACCUCAAGUAAGGAAUGCAUGAUGGAUACCAUGCCAAACAAGCAAAAGCAAUAGGCUGUUGUAGGCUCAGAAAAAAAGUGUUGGCAGCAACAUACAAAGGACGCUUUAUGUUGCUCUUUACCAUCGAGCAAAACCCAGCAGGCCAGUCUAGCCCAAUUGGAAUCUUACCCUGAAUUCAAAGGUAUACUCUGCCAAUAACAGAGUGGGCUAGACUGGCAGAGAUGGAGUGUUUGUUUCUAGAAAUAAGUGUGUUUUGGAUGGGCACAUUCUGCUAGUAUUGAUAAACAGGUCUGUUGGCAGGCGGCUGAUGUGGGCAGGGGUUUGAGUUAGCUCAGGCCCAGACGCUCAGACCGUUCUGCUGGAGGGACGCCAGUGAAAUUCUCUGGCCUGCUAGAGGCAAACGAUUAUGUGAAGAAGAAGAGGGGUCCGGGCCGCCAAGAGCAUAAUUUCCCGUUAGAAUGGGAAUUAGAGGACCACACACUUAGUUCAAUCCCAUCAGUCACUAGGAAAACGGAUCGAUGAAGGAAGGAUGGACGAAGUGGGGUGCACAUGCAGAUGUGCUGAGUCACAGGCCAUUGUGACAUCCCUUCCUCUAUCUCAAAACAACAAAGAUCCAUCUAUGUGUUCCAAGCCAGGCCAAAGGAUGAUUUCAGAGAAGAGGACAGAGGGGGUAACAUCCGUGGAAUGGAAGAGUGGGGACAGGGUGGAGGAUUGGAUGUGUUGGGAUGAGGUAAAAAAAUUCCCUCACUCUGUCUGGACCUACUGUAAUAAGAUGGUUAUUGUUAACACAUUACACACACACACCAAUGGAGGCUCCUCAGACGAGGAAGGGGAGGACCAUCCUUCUCUGUGAAUUUCAUAAAAAUACAAAUAGUGAAACAAUAAUAAAAUGCAAUCCUUUUUAGAUAAAACUAUAGCAAAUAUAUUCAAACGUCACCAAAUACCUAAUUAAAACACACUGUUUUGCAAUGGUCUACAGUAAUCUCAACAGCACCCUCUAGGGUAGCACCAUGGUAUAGCCGGAGGACAUCUAUUUUCCAUCCUCCUCUGGCUACAUUGACUUCAAUACAAAACCUAGGAGGCUCAUGCUCCUCACCCCCUUUCAUAGAACUUCUGAAGGACGUCCUCCAACCAAUCAAAGCUUUUGCAGUAUGAACUAACAUGUUGUCCCCUCAAUCAAAGGAUCAGAGAACUAACCUAGUAGUACACAUGUGUGAUUUAGAAGCUUGGCGACAUUGUUGGAUAGAAUAGUGAUACAGUAGAUGAGCCUUUUUAGGUUACUAUUCAAUUCAAAUUAAUUUCUUCAAAACUACAUCAGAUGUAGGAGGUAGAUUAAUCCUUGCUUGGACUAACAAAUUCUUAGCUCUUCUGUCUAACUGUGUUGUGUUAUUGUUUUUUGUCUUCCCUGUUAAAUCCUGUCCCACCCUCAGUGGAAGAGUUGAGCUCUCCAACCUCAUCCAUCUGUGAUGAGCAUGUCCUGCACUGAAACCUAGCCACUGAACACCUCUACCCCUGUCCUGCACUGAAGCCUCUGAACACCUCAAACCCUGACAUGCACUGAAGUCAAGCCUCUCGAACACCUCAACUCAUGUCUUAUAACCUCAUUCAGUCACUGCUGUGAUCCCUUCACAACACUGUGAGCAAAGAACAGCUUUAUGAAUACCUCCACACACACACACACACACACACACACACACACACACACACACACACACACACACACACACACACACACACACACACACACACACACACACACACACACACACACACACACACACACACACACACACACACACACACACACACACACACACACACACACACACACCGCCUAGUCUUGAGUAAACUGAAACACUGUAUGCCAGCUUUACGAAUGCCACCAGAAAAAAAAGUAGCUAAGUAGCUUACUAUGCAGAAAGCCAUUUAGUGCUCAUUGUUAUUUCUGGAUACUGUGAGAAAAAAUGCCAGAGGCAAUUUAGGCCAUUGCCUUUGAGUGGCUGUGUGGUCACUUGUUUUUACGAUGAGUCUGAAGCAGUGAAAUAGUACAUAAUGAUGUCUGGUUUGAGUAACACACACAAAACACACACACACACACACACACACACACACACACACACACACACACACACACACACACACACACACACACACCAGUAAGAGCCAAGUCCUGAGUGAAGUGAAGUGGAACACUACUACUGGACUCCUGAUCAGAGGACCGGACCUCACCUGGGUUUGAAAACUCACCAAGUCUGCCAAUGCCUGUUCCUGUUCAAACAACUUCUCUCUCAUUUUCCACCCAGAUCAUCUUGUCCCAAUUUUACGCAUUACUUGUGAUUUCACUUUGAGGUUGGUCCCAUACUGGCAGUUGUUAUUUCUGGGCAAAAUCAAACAAUAGCCUGAUCUUCACUUUGUAACGCAAUAGGGACAGGGUUUUUUUUUACUUUUUGUGUGGUGCUAGUGAAGUUCUCCACCUAAUUUAUUGCCUUCAGCAAGCUUAUAAAACUUAAAGCAUUUUGACUAAUUUAACACUAAGAGGAUACAGGUCUAAAAUGAAACAUAGAGACCUUUGACUUCUUAAGAUGACCCGGAAGAUGACUUACUUGACUACUAGGAAUCUUUGGCUCCUAUAAGGAGCAUAGCAGACCAUUGAUAAAUGUCCUUCAUCUCACUCCGUUUUGAGUGAGAUGUUCUUCCAGGUCACACCAGUUGAGGCCACUCUGUCAUUUCUACCUGGAUGUCUCUCUGUGGGAGAAUCUCAAUAGCAUACUUCUCGAGUCCUCUCUCAUCUCUCCUCACCUCCUUCUCAAAACCCAUUGGAGGAGAAGGUCAUAGGGGAGGGACCUCUGGCUUUCUCAUCCAUUGGUUUGUGAGAAAGAGGUGAGGAGAGAGGAGAGAGGAUGCGAGGGGUAUGCAAUUGAGAUUCUCUCCAAGCCUUUCUGGGUCGAGGUACAUGAGGUACAGAAGACAGUUAAAAAAUGUCACUCAAACAUUUCAUAGCUCUACAUGCUUUCAGAAAGAAUAAAAAUCACUGUCUCUAAGCAAGUUUAUGAAAUGUGUUUCAUAUUAGGGUUAUAUGAGUGUUUACAGCAGGCUUAGUGCCAAAUUAGAUUUACAGAACUAUCCAUAAUCGAAAGCUGUUAAAAAGUGAGCUAAGUGCAUAAUUGAGCAAACACUGUAAAGCUGAGAAUGCAUCAAAGGAACAUUCAUCCACACCUGGAUUACCACCAGAGAAACUGGCUGAGAAGUGUUUCUCUCUCUCUCUCUGAUUGGUUAACUGACAGAGGUUAUAAGGGCACCUCUGGCCACCUAGAGAGACAGAGGCACGAUUCAAUAAACGUCUUCCUCAAUUUGUCAAAUAGUCGGCAGUAGGCUACAUGCCAAGUUCAACUGGGCUAAACCAAAUAGCUAGCUACACUCUUAGAAAAAAAGUGUUCCAAAAGGGUUAUUCGGCUGUCCCAAUAGGAGAACCCUUUUUGGUUCCAGGUAGAACCUUUUUGGUUUCAAAUAGAACUCGUUUCGUUUAGUACCCUGUCAGGUAAGGGUUCUACCUGGAACCAAAAGGGUUCUACCUGGAACCAAAAAUGGUUCUUCAAAUGGUUCUCCUAUGGAGACAUCCGAAGAGCACCUUUUUUCUAAGUGUAUAGUAGCUUGUUAAAUAAAAGGCCAAACAUUUCAUGAAACGUUGUUACAUACAGCAUUUCAUAUAUCUUCUACAUUUUACCAAUAUUUUGGGAUAGGGGUUUUUCUUGCUUUUACCUGUUUGAGGUUGGCUCGCUGCCGAUUUCAAAUUUGAAUUCAGUGUCAUCACACGACAUCCGGUAAUGACCGUCUGUGGCUUUACCUUGAAGACCGUCUCCUAGAAGUUGGACUGAUGUGCCCAGUGGGUAGUUAACUCAACUUGCUAGCUGUGUUGAUGGACGUAUACAGAAAGUCAACAAAAAACUGUAAAGUAAGUUAAGGACAGAUAAACAUUAAACACACAAAGAAAUUAUUGAAAACACUGUACAUAAAAGUUUAUGCUUUUGGCUCAGUAUAUGGAGGGCCAAAACGUAUUUCCUCUCUAACAUGAUCGAUUUUAUGAAAUGACCAUCAGCCCUUUUACAGUUUUUUUUCAAUUGUUUAAGCACAAUUUUGAAAACAGGGCCCGGUUUGUCAAAACACUACACACAAUUAGCAGAACCCUACACCAAAGUAGCACAACACUUCAGAUCAUUUGCAAAAUGGAACACUUGUCAAAACUACACACAUAUUCUGUUACCAUACGAAACACACACAUUUCAUGACUUCAAUCUUUUUGAACCAGUUACACACUGCUGUUGCUAACCUAAAACACUUUUAGCAAGUCUAAUUGUCAGUGAUUAGAGUACUGUAAAUGAAGUACACAGAGAAAGUGCAACUAUACAAACACUACACAAGACCAAUGCUGCAGACUGAGGAAAAUAUCAUUUAUUUCUCUCCAUAUACCCAAAUCAGUCAACAUGUCAACAUGGAGAAUCACAACAAAACAUGUCCCAGUUUUCAUGCUACUACAGUAGUGUGCAUAACACUGUUAGCUCAGCAAACAGACAAAGGUAAAAUACUGUAUCCAGUACAGGUUACAAUUACAGUAAACAACAAACAUAAAAAAAUAAUCUGAAAAAAAACUGACAAUAUUGUACAGAAAAUACUACAGUAAACAUAGUAUACAUUAUCUCUUCACCUAGCUGGAUCUGGCCAGAGAAUUUCAUCAACAUCACAAGCAAUAUCCUCAUUAGCAAGACAACGCGGGAAGAACCGUCUUGAAUGUCGAAUCCAUCCUUGCAGAGCUGCGGCGUCGACUUGGUCACAGGCAUCCUCCAUGGCCUGAAUGAGGGGUACCUGAGCCUGGGGCUGGAGAUCGUAAACCUUCCACCGCCAUGCAGAGAAAAACUCUUCAAAAGGGUUUAGAAACGGAGAGUAUGGUGGAAGGUAUAGUACUGUCAACUGUGGAUGGUGUUGAAACCAGUUCUGGACCAAAGCAGAGCGGUGGAAUGACACAUUGUCCCAGAUGACAGUGUAUUGCAUCUGGUGCAUUUCAUUACCUGCUGUGACGAUGUGGUGCAAUCGGUCCAAAAAUGCGAGAAUGUGAGGUGUGUUGUAAGGGCCCAUUUUGGCAUGACGGAGGAGAACCCCAUGCUGUGAAAUGGCAGCGCAAAGGGUGAUGUUACCCCCACGUUGCC